rnacentral:tRNA from 1 species
UGGUGGGUAGCUCAAUUGGCAGAGCAGCGGGUCAAGUCCCCGAUCGCGUGCAGGUUCGAGUCCUGCCCUAUCAC